GACAGAGGGUGCAAACGUUGUUCGGAAUUACUGGGCGUAAAGCGUGUGUAGGGCGGCUUUGCAAGUCGGAUGUGAAAGGCCCCGGGCUCAACCCGGGAAGUGCACUCGAUACUGCAGAGCUUGAGUGUCGGAGAGGUUGGUGGAAUUCCUGGUGGAGCGGUGAAAUGCGCAGAUAUCAGGAGGAACACCCGUAGCGAAGGCGGCACUCUGGGCCGAUACUGACACUGAGGAGCGAAAGCGUGGGGAGCGAACAGG
rnacentral:rRNA from 1 species